rnacentral:rRNA from 1 species
GAUGAACGCUGGCGGCGUGCUUAACACAUGCAAGUCGAACGGAAAGGCUCCUGCUUGCAGGGGUACUCGAGUGGCGAACGGGUGAGUAACACGUGGGUGAUCUGCCCUGCACUUCGGGAUAAGCCUGGGAAACUGGGUCUAAUACCGGAUAGGACCACAUCUUGGAUGGUGUGGUGGAAAGUUUUUCGGUGUGGGAUGAGCUCGCGGCCUAUCAGCUUGUUGGUGGGGUAAUGGCCUACCAAGGCGUCGACGGGUAGCCGGCCUGAGAGGGUGUACGGCCACAUUGGAACUGAGAUACGGGCCAGAGUCGUACGGGAGGCAGCAGUGGGGAAUAUUGGACAAUGGGCGCAAGCGUGAUGCAGCGACGCCGCGUGGGGGAUGAGGGCCUUCGGGUUGUAAACUCCUCUCGCUAGGGACGAAGCGUUGUUGUGACGGUACCUGGAGAAGAAGCACCGGCUAACUACGUG